AUCGCUUCUCGGCCUUUUGGCUAAGAUCAAGUGUAGUAUCUGUUCUUAUCAAAUUAAUAUCUGAUAUGUCCCUUAUCUGGGGACCAUAUAUUAAAUUGAUUUUUGGGACAGGGAUAUUAAAAGGUCUUGUAAAACCCUCAUUCGAAGAAGCUUUAGCAUCCUCUCCUUCUCCCGCCGAUGGCCG